CUACGUGCCAGCAGCCGCGGUAAUACGUAUGUCACAAGCGUUAUCCGGAUUUAUUGGGCGUAAAGCGCGUCUAGGUGGUUAUGUAAGUCUGAUGUGAAAAUGCAGGGCUCAACUCUGUAUUGCGUUGGAAACUGCAUGACUAGAGUACUGGAGAGGUAAGCGGAACUACAAGUGUAGAGGUGAAAUUCGUAGAUAUUUGUAGGAAUGCCGAUGGGGAAGCCAGCUUACUGGACAGAUACUGACGCUAAAGCGCGAAAGCGUGGGUAGCAAACAGGAUUAGAUACCCUGGUAGUCCACGCCCUAAACGAUGUCAAUUAGCUGUUGGGCAACUUGAUUGCUUAGUAGCGUAGCUAACGCGUGAAAUUGACCGCCUGGGGAGUACGGUCGCAAGAUUAAAACUCAAAGGAAUUGACGGGGACCCGCACAAGCGGUGGAUGAUGUGGAUUAAUUCGAUGCAACGCGAAGAACCUUACCUGGUCUUGACAU
rnacentral:rRNA from 1 species